rnacentral:rRNA from 1 species
CGGCCGCGUCGACAGAAGCGAAAGUGACGGUACCUGAAGAAUAAGCUCCGGCUAACUACGUGCCAGCAGCCGCGGUAAUACGUAGGGAGCAAGCGUUAUCCGGAUUUACUGGGUGUAAAGGGCGCGCAGGCGGGCCGGCAAGUUGGAAGUGAAAUCCCGGGGCUUAACUCCGGAACUGCUUUCAAAACUGCUGGUCUUGAGUGAUGGAGAGGCAGGCGGAAUUCCGUGUGUAGCGGUGAAAUGCGUAGAUAUACGGAGGAACACCAGUGGCGAAGGCGGCCUGCUGGACAUUAACUGACGCUGAGGCGCGAAAGCGUG